GAAACACGGCGGCUCAAACGCUCAAAAGUUUGGUUAUACUUUACGAGAGCGGAUGACAACAGGGCAACUUUCAAUACUUGCAAAGUAGAUAUUUCAUUUAAGGGAGGAAACACUACGAAUAUGCAAAAGCAUUUGCUCACAAAACACACGAUGACCUUAAAUGAAUGUCGUGGUUUUAAUUCAGCUCGUGAAUCUCAACCCAGCAGCAGCGGUAACGUUUGCACGUCCUCUCCCGUUAAUGCGGCAGGUGACCAUGAUGAGAGAGACAGAGUCUGGCUGGCGCUCGCUGGCAGUUCUCGCUGCAGUCUACCGGUAGCGUCUCCUUUCAGGCCAGGAUAGACGAAUGUCACCGAGCAGUGACUAAGUUUGUGGUCAAAGGCUUGCCACAGCAGAUGCCCCGAUUUUCAAUUAUCUGUCCCGAGGGAGACCAGCGAGGAGCAAGUUUGGUAUGAGAUAGCUUUGCUAAAGUGUGUGUAUAGAUGGCUGUCACUGUUAAAAUCAUCAUUCCAGUGCCUGUCUAAAAGAAGCCUGUGGUUCUUUGUUUUGUUUUGUUUUUCAUCUUACACUCAAAAUGAAAGUGAAGGCAAGAUUCUUAAGUGGUUUGGGCCUCAAAAAUAUAUCUGCAGGAUCUGAUUCAUUAACUGGAUAGAUUUUUUUUUAUUGUUAUUAUCAUUCUCGGCAGAUGGACACCCAUCCCCGAGCCUGAAUCCGCUGGAGAUUUCUUCCUUUUAAAAGGGAGUUUUUCCUUCCCAUUGUUGCCAAAGUGCUUGAUUUUUGAUGAUUUUUUUUUUUUUGGGGGGGGGGGGGGGUUGUAUUAUUGUAAGGUCUACCUUACUCUAUAAAGCACCUUGAGGUGACUGUUGUUGAGAUUUGGUGCUUUAUAAAUAAAACUGAAUUGAAUUGAAUUCUUCUUUUGGCCCGUUCUUAAACCUCUAGAUGUCAACAAUUUUUUUCUUUCCUGCACUCUAUUUGAAAUACAUA
ensembl:lncRNA